rfam:Gossypium raimondii Chr08_contig_1253, whole genome shotgun sequence.
UGUUAAAAAUCUCAUCUGUUUCUACUAUUAAAAAUUGGUCAUUAUAUGUCAGAAUGAGUUACACAUGGCACACUAUGUGUAACUAUCUGAUUAUUCUGUCAAUAACACUAAUUUUUAAUAGUAAAAAUGGAUAAAAUUUUACUA